rnacentral:rRNA from 1 species
GAUGAACGCUGGCGGCGUGCCUAAUACAUGCAAGUCGAGCGAACGGACGAGAAGCUUGCUUCUCUGAUGUUAGCGGCGGACGGGUGAGUAACACGUGGAUAACCUACCUAUAAGACUGCGAUAACUUCGGGAAACCGGAGCUAAUACCGGAUGAUAUUUUGAACCGCAUGGUUCAAAAGUGAAAGACGGUCUUGCUGUCACUUAUAGAUGGAUCCGCGCUGCAUUAGCUAGUUGGUAAGGUAACGGCUUACCAAGGCAACGAUGCAUAGCCGACCUGAGAGGGUGAUCGGCCACACUGGAACUGAGACACGGUCCAGACUCCUACGGGAGGCAGCAGUAGGGAAUCUUCCGCAAUGGGCGAAAGCCUGACGGAGCAACGCCGCGUGAGUGAUGAAGGUCUUCGGAUCGUAAAACUCUGUUAUUAGGGAAGAACAUAUGUGUAAGUAACUGUGCACAUCUUGACGGUACCUAAUCAGAAAGCCACGGCUAACUACGUG